AGAGAAAGUACCUUGAUUAUAGUAAAAGUAUCAAGAUGUGUUUGCUUAUCGCUGUUAAUUAAAUAAAGAACUUAAAAAAAAGUAGAGUCUCAUAGCUCAGCUGGUUAGAGCGCUACACUGAUAAUGUAGAGGUCGGCAGUUCGAGUCUGCCUGAGACUACUAAUUUUUUUUUAAAUAGGAAAUUCUAGAAGUUGCGUAGUAGUUAUAGUCUAACUACUAGCUACUAUAUGCUAACUACUAGUAUAUGGGGGAUUAGCUCAGCUGGCUAGAGCGCCUGCCUUGCACGCAGGAGGUCAUCGGUUCGACUCCGAUAUUCUCCACAACUCUUUAGGUUGUUAUAUCGCUACACAAUAAAACAGAUGUUAGUAAUUAGUUUUUAUUGUGAUUGAGGAGCAAUUGAUUAGAAGAGAAAAGUUCAUUGACAUAUUGAGAUACAAACACGAGCACAUUAUAUUUAUAUAAUGAUGUUUUAAAAUUUUAAAAAUAAUAAGAGCAAAAAGUAC
rnacentral:misc_RNA from 1 species